rnacentral:rRNA from 1 species
GACGAACGCUGGCGGCGUGCCUAAUACAUGCAAGUCGGACGCAGUUGCGAACGGGUGAGUAACGCGUAGGUAACUACCUAUUAGAGGGGGAUAACUAUUGGAAACGAUAGCUAAUACCGCAUACUAGUAGAUGUACCUGCGUUGUAUUAGCUAGUAGGUAGGGUAAUGGCCUACCUAGGCAACGAUACAUAGCCGAGUCUGGGAGGUGGACCGCCAACCCGGGACCUGGAAACGGGCCCAGCUCCUUAGGGGAGGAGCAGGAGGGAAACUUCGGAAAUUGGGGGAACCCUGACCGAGCAACGGCGCGGGAGUGGAAAAGGGUUUUGGAGCUUAAAGCUAUGUUGUUAAGGAAGCGUUACCUAACCAGAAAGGGACGGCUAACUACGUGCCAGCAGCCGCGGUAAUAC